rnacentral:rRNA from 1 species
AACGAACGCUGGCGGCAUGCCUAACACAUGCAAGUCGAACGAGACCUUCGGGUCUAUUGGCGCACGGGUGCGUAACACGUGGGAAUCUGCCCUUUGCUUCGGAAUAACAGUUAGAAAUGACUGCUAAUACCGGAUGAUGUCGAAAGACCAAAGAUUUAUCGGCAAAGGAUGAGCCCGCGUAGGAUUAGGUAGUGGGUGGGGUAAAGGCCUACCAAGCCGACGAUGCUUAGCUGGUCUGAGAGGAUGAUCAGCCACACUGGGACUGAGACACGGCCCAGACUCUUACGGGAGGCAGCAGUGGGGAAUAUUGGAAAAUGGGCGAAAGCAUGAUCCAGCAAUGACGCGUGAGUGAUGAAGGCAUUAGGGUUGUAAAGCUCUUUUACCAGGGAUGAUAAUGACAGUACCUGGAGAAUAAGCCCCGGCUAACUACGUG